UUGUCUCCUGGCCCACUGUGUGUCCCUGGGUCCACCCUGAGGCGUAGCUCAGGUAAUCUCCUUCGCCUGUGGUGCAUUAGCUGCAAUCAAGAGGCUGCAUUUAAACCCAGUGUCGUCACCUCUCCUUUGCCAGUCCGACAGCUACCAAUGGUGGUAACAAGUUGCAUCUCUCUGUGUUUCCUUUCAGGUCGAUGUUUUGCCUUACCUAACUCUCCUUGUGUUCUCAGUUUUUGACUCAUCAGUUAUACUGUAAGCACCCAGCUUCCAGCCAGAAAUCUCACCCACCACUGAACCUUGCCGUCUAAACUUGGAUUCUCUUCACCUCUACUGCCUGCCCUCCUGCCUGCUGACUGUGCUGGAAACACUAAACCUCAGGUUGGACAAAUACUCAGCUGCUCAGUCUUCAAUACCCUCCCCAAGCUGGAAAUCAGCUUCACUGCAUGUAAGCAGUCAAGAUCUGUGUUGUAAAUAAUUUACACGAAGCUCAACAGAAAGUCUGUAAGGAUGGCAGAGGAGGAAGUUAACUAUGCCACAGUCAAAUUCAAAGAAAAGAAACAUUCCCAAUCAAAAGUUAAAAAGGAGGAAACUGUUUAUGAUGAAGUGGAGGUGAAAAAUGAAGCAAAGGAACAAACUCUGGACACAAACGACAAGACAUCAGACAGAACUACGAGCAGACAUCGCCAC
ensembl:lncRNA